AGAGUUUGAUUCUGGCUCAGGACGAACGCUGGCGGCGUGCCUAAUACAUGCAAGUAGACGCUGAGGAGAGGAGCUUGCUCUUCUUGGAUGAGUUGCGAACGGGUGAGUAACGCGUAGGUACCUGCCUUGUAGCGGGGGAUAACUAUUGGAAACGAUAGCUAAUACCGCAUAACAAUGGAUGACACAUGUCAUUUAUUUGAAAGGGGCAAUUGCUCCACUACAAGAUGGACUGCGUUGUAUUAGCUAGUAGGUGAGGUAAUGGCUCACCUAGGCGACGAUACAUAGCCGACCUGAGAGGGUGAUCGGCCACACUGGGACUGAGACACGGCCCAGACUCCUACGGGAGGCAGCAGUAGGGAAUCUUCGGCAAUGGGGGCAACCCUGACCGAGCAACGCCGCGCGAGUGAAGAAGGUUUUCGGAUCGUAAAGCUCUGUUGUAAGUCAAGAACGGGUGUGAGAGUGGAAAGUUCACACUGUGACGGUAGCUUACCAGAAAGGGACGGCUAACUACGUGCCAGCAGCCGCGGUAAUACGUAGGUCCCGAGCGUUGUCCGGAUUUAUUGGGCGUAAAGCGAGCGCAGGCGGUUUGAUAAGUCUGAAGUUAAAGGCUGUGGCUCAACCAUAGUUCGCUUUGGAAACUGUCAAACUUGAGUGCAGAAGGGGAGAGUGGAAUUCCAUGUGUAGCGGUGAAAUGCGUAGAUAUAUGGAGGAACACCGGUGGCGAAAGCGGCUCUCUGGACUGUAACUGACGCUGAGGCUCGAAAGCGUGGGGAGCGAACAGGAUUAGAUACCCUGGUAGUCCACGCCGUAAACGAUGAGUGCUGGGUGUUGGAUCCUUUCCGGGAUUCAGUGCCGCAGCUAACGCAUUAAGCACUCCGCCUGGGGAGUACGACCGCAAGGUUGAAACUCAAAUGAAUUGACGGGG
rnacentral:rRNA from 1 species